AUCCAAAGGCAUAGCACGUUGAAUACACCAGUUCUCAAUGGAUCACCGAAGUUAAGCAGCGUUGAGCGUGGUUGCUAUCCGGGUGCUGCUGGCUU
rfam:Asian citrus Psyllid, Diaphorina citri - Florida Strain, whole genome shotgun sequence.